rnacentral:lncRNA from 1 species
CACAUUAGCUUUAUGUCCUACCUUUCCACAGCAAAAAUAGGUUAUAUUCUUAAUUUUACUUUUUCCUGCUUUCACAAAAAAGUUACUAAGGAGCUUUUGCUUAUUCUUAGGUUUGUAUCCUAAACCAGCUCUAUUAAAUACAGCUCGUUGAUUGUUAAGUAUCAUUUCCAAUUUUUCAGAACUAUAUGUAAACUUUUCAACAAUAGGUUUGUAUUUUUCAAGCUCUUGUGUAAGCUUUUGUUUUUCUGUUUUUAGUGUGUU